rnacentral:rRNA from 1 species
UGGGGAAUAUUGCACAAUGGGCGCAAGCCUGAUGCAGCGACGCCGCGUGGGGGAUGACGGCCUUCGGGUUGUAAACUCCUUUCGCUAGGGACGAAGCUUUUUGUGACGGUACCUAGAUAAGAAGCACCGGCUAACUACGUGCCAGCAGCCGCGGUAAUACGUAGGGUGCGAGCGUUGUCCGGAAUUACUGGGCGUAAAGGGCUCGUAGGUGGUUUGUCGCGUCGUCUGUGAAAUUCCGGGGCUUAACUCCGGGCGUGCAGGCGAUACGGGCAUAACUUGAGUACUGUAGGGGUAACUGGAAUUCCUGGUGUAGCGGUGAAAUGCGCAGAUAUCAGGAGGAACACCGAUGGCGAAGGCAGGUUACUGGGCAGUUACUGACGCUGAGGAGCGAAAGCAUGGGUAGCGAACA